GGGCAUGGUGGCACUUGCCUGUAAUCCCAGCUACUCGGGAGACUGAGGCAGGAGAAUUGCCUGAACCCAGGAGGCAGAGAUUGCAAUUAGCUGAGAUGGCAACACUGUACUUCAGCCUGGAUGACAGAGUGAGGCUCCAUCUCAAACAAAAUAAAACAAAAAAA